CUCACAUUGCACCAGCGCACCUUGUAACAAAUGAACUCACAUUGCACCAGCGCACCUUGUAACAAAUGAACUCACAUUGCACCAGCGCACCUAGUAACAAAUGAACUCACAUUGCACCAGCGCACCUUGUAACAAAUGAACUCACAUUGCACCAGCGCACUUAGUAACAAAUAAACUCACAUUGCACCAGCGCACCUUGUAACAAAUGAACUCACAUUGCACCAGCGCACCUAGUAAUAAAUGAACUCACAUUGCACCAGCGCACCUUGUAACAAAUGAACUCACAUUGCACCAGCGCACCUAGUAACAAAUGAACUCACAUUGCACCAGCGCACCUUGUAAUAAAUGAACUCACAUUGCACCAGCGCACCUAGUAACAAAUGAACUAACAUUGCACCAGCGCACCUUGUAACAAAUGAACAUACUCUGCACCAGCGACAAACUUAUAACAGCGACGCACUUUAUAACACCUGAUGAUUUUUUGUAAUAUUACACGCAUAGUACAUGGCUAUCGCGUAUGGUAUGUUCCACAGGGGUGCGCCGUUGUCAGCACAGGAGUUACGGUGUAUUCCACGGAGACCCGUAGCGAAAAUGGCCCAUUAUAGCCUCGAAAGCACAUUUUGUUGUUUUAUUUUGCUUGCGUGACACUGCGUGCGUGACAGUAAGUAAGGUGUCAAUUUUAAGUAUAAUAUAUUGCCUGUGUGACACUGCGAAUGUGAUAGUGUGUCACGUGCCAACCUCAUGCAGUCAUUCCCUGCUUGCGUGACACGUCAUGUGCGAGUGUGACAGUGUGUCACGUGUUAACCAGUCACGUUGAGUGAUUUCUCUUGCUUGUGUCACGCUACGUGCGUGACAGGCUAUUUUUCUCUUACAAUUUGAUAAAUUUGAUUUUUUUUCUUGCUCUAUUUGAGCCUUUUUAUUAGCAGGAAGUUGUUUUGUUAAAAUACAGGGCUUUUUCUGCUAUCUGCGGAGUGAUCGGUGAUAUUCGCAUUGUUAUUCUAUGAGCCGAUGGAUUGUUCUAAGCUUGUUUACCCGUGACGUCAAUAGUGCCCUUUGUUUCCGGAGUGAGCGUGGAAAGACUUGAUAAAAUCAAAAAUAUUUUCACUCGCUUCAGACGGCGCGCAUUUAGAAACGUCUACUGGAGAGAAGCCUUUUACCCGUAGUCUUUAGUAUUCAGCAAUUGCCCCUCGCUGCUACGGUACUCCUCUUCUACCUGUGCGGCUAUUUGCGGUGUGAAAUUUCAUACAGUUAAUAGGUAAAGACGUCACUAUCUGUCAGCCAGAGCUCCAUCUCUCCGUUAGUGUGUCUGCAAGUUGUGCAAUUUGCUAAGCUCUUGGUUCUUGCUAUCACUGAAUGCAUGAUGAAGCGUCGGGGAAGCCGACGAGAAAGUCGGACAAGUCGAUCAAGCUUCAACCCCGAGUCGUCAACAUCCACCAAGACAAAGAAGUUAGUGGCGGAUGUAUUACUUGUUUGCGAACUAUUAUUGUUCAUUACCCUUGCUGCUCUCGCUGGCAAAAAGGACCCACCGACUGCCUCGGACCCGAACGAGCGAAGUAGAUCUGCUACUUCUAGUACUAGCAGCUCUGCAAGUAGAUAACCGAUGGUACCACCGGAAACCCAUAAAUCAUUAAACCGAGGCUACCACCGGAAAGCCAUAAAUCAUGAAACCGAGGCUAUCAUUGGAAACCCACGAUGAAUAAUGAAACAGGGCCUACCACAGAAAACCAGGGGGUAGUUAUCAGGAAGCCUUCUGUUAUGGCUCUUGGCCCAAGGCAUCCGGCGUCUAUCCGGCGUCGUCAUCUAUUCCUGCUCAGUUAACCAUCUUAACUUCGUGUCAAAAAGGGUCCUGAGGAAUUGGUGAUGGAUAUCUACUAAUCUACUCUCAGACUUUAUAUGGUGAUUAUCUAUCUAUAUUGGCCGCUUCACAUCGCACUUGCGGCGUAGGCUAAUGUGAAGGUAGACAAAUGAUCAGAUAAUUACAAAAAAAUAUAAAAAAAACCGGUUACUCUAGAUACUAGAAGUAGUUUGAAAGGAGGCUGAUGUCAUGUGAGCGAGCGCCGAUAGCAGUAUAGAGGCUGAUGUCAUGUGAGCGAGCGCCGAUAGCAGUAAAGAGGCUGAUGUCAUGUGAGCGAGCGCCGAUAGCAGUAUAGAGGCUGAUGUCAUGUGAGCGAGCGCCGAUAGCAGUAUAGUGAAUACCGCCUUGGCGCAAACCUAGCAUAAAGAACUUUGGACAUUAGAUGUUAGGAAUAACGGCGAGAUUGAGUUUUUUUAGGAAAGCCGUUUUCUCCUGUUUUAUUAUUAGUGUUCAAGGUCAGAUAUAUAUUGUAUAUAUUAUAGAACUUGCCUGAGCCCUAAUGUCAUAAUCAUGCAAUAAAUUGUAAAUAACUUCUAA